rnacentral:rRNA from 1 species
AGAGUUUGAUCCUGGCUCAGAUUGAACGCUGGCGGUAGGCUUAACACAUGCAAGUCGUGCGAGAAAGUAUCUUCGGAUAUGAGUAGAGCGGCGGACGGGUGAGUAACGCGUAGGAAUCUACCUAGUAGAAGGGGAUAGCCCGGGGAAACCCGGAUUAAUACCGUAUACCUCCUUCGGGAGAAAGAAGGCCUCUCUUUGAAGCUUUCGCUAUUAGAUGAGCCUGCGUAAGAUUAGCUUGUUGGUGAGGUAAAGGCUCACCAAGGCGACGAUCUUUAGCUGGUCUGAGAGGACGAUCAGCCACAUUGGGACUGAGACACGGCCCAGACUCCUACGGGAGGCAGCAGUGGGGAAUAUUGGACAAUGGGCGCAAGCCUGAUCCAGCCAUACCGCGUGUGUGAAGAAGGCCUUCGGGUUGUAAAGCACUUUAAGCAGGGAGAAAAAGUUAUAAGUUAAUACCUUAUAACCGUGAUGUUACCUGCAGAAUAAGCACCGGCUAAUUCCGUGCCAGCAGCCGCGGUAAUACGGAAGGUGCAAGCGUUAAUCGGAAUUACUGGGCGUAAAGCGCGCGUAGGUGGUUUGUUAAGUUGGAUGUGAAAGCCCUGGGCUCAACCUAGGAACUGCAUCCAAAACUAACUCACUAGAGUACGAUAGAGGGAGGUAGAAUUCAUAGUGUAGCGGUGGAAUGCGUAGAUAUUAUGAAGAAUACCAGUGGCGAAAGCGGCCUCCUGGAUCUGUACUGACACUG